UGUGCGCAGAAKNNUCUGGGCUCNAGCCUGCCUGGAGCCGCCGCCGGUGCAGAUCUUGGUGGUAGUAGCAAAUACUCCAGCGAGGCCCUGGAGGACUGAUGUGGAGAAGGGUUUCGUGUGAACAGCCGUUGCACACGAGUCAGUCGAUCCUAAGCCCUAGGAGAAAUCCGAUGCAAACGGCGAUGGGAAACGCACUGAACUCGAUUUAUUGAGACAGAGACCCAUUGAACGGGCGAAAGGGAAUCCGGUUCCUAUUCCGGAACCCGGCAGCGGAACCGUUGUUUGUCGGGCCCUCGCAAGGGGUUCGUCAGGGCAACCUAAAAGGGCCCGGAGACGCCGUCGGGGGCCCCGGAAAGAGUUUUCUUUUCUGCAUGAGCGUUCGAGUUCCCUGGAAUCCUCUCGCAGGGAGAUAGGGUUUGGAACGCGAAGAGCACCGCAGUUGCGGCGGUGCACGGGAAUUCCCGACGGACCUUGAAAAUCCGGGAGAGGGCCACGUGGAGGUGUCGCGCCGGCUCGUACCCAUAUCCGCAGCAGGUCUCCAAGGUGAAGAGCCUCUAGUC
rnacentral:rRNA from 1 species